rnacentral:rRNA from 1 species
UACGUAGGUGGCAAGCGUUGUCCGGAUUUACUGGGCGUAAAGCGCGCGCAGGCGGUCGUUCAAGUCGAGUGUGAAAGCCCCCGGCUCAACUGGGGAGGGGCAUUCGAUACUGAUCGACUCGAAGGCAGGAGAGGGUAGUGGAAUUCCCGGUGUAGAGGUGAAAUGCGUAGAUAUCGGGAGGAACACCAGUGGCGAAGGCGACUACCUGGCCUGUUCUUGACGCUGAGGCGCGAAAGCGAGGGGAGCAAACGGG